GAGUUCGGUCGAGAUAUGAACCCGGGACCUCUCGCAGCCUAAGCGAGAAUCAUACCCCUAGCCCACCGAACC